rnacentral:lncRNA from 1 species
AUAUAAAGAAAGAAAUAAAAAGAAUGAGUGGAGACUGGAGUGAAGGGUUCCCUGGGCGGUGGUAUGAGUGUCCUGUGGCUGCUCUAACAAGUUACCACAAUCUGGGGGUCUCAGCACCACAGCUCUUGAUUUUCUCACAGUUCUGGAGGCCAGAAAUCCAAAAUCCAGGUGUCGGCAGCUUGGUUCCUUCCAUCAGAUGUGAGGAUCUGUGCCUAACCUCACUCCUUUGCUCGUCACUGGCCGUCUUUGCUGUAGGUGGGUGUGUGCAAUGCAGGGGUGGACCCUGGGCCUCAUGCACGCUAAGCCCCUGCCCUUUAUAGGGCAGUAGUCAUGUUGAGCAGAGCCUGCCCCAAUCCAGGAUGGCUGCAUCUCAAGGUCUUUACCUUCUGCCUGCCAUCCCAGCUAUGCAGGAGGCUGAGGCAGGGGAAUGCAAGUUCAAGAGCAGCCUGGGCCAGACUGGCCCCUGUGAUAGUUCAUUUUAACAUGUCAACUUGACCAGUUGAGCAUAAAAUCGCCCCAACAUUCAAUUUGGGAAAACGGACUGGAAGUAAAGACGUACAAGCCAUUUGACUGGAGGUUCUUGCAUUCAGGAAUUGGCUCCAAUAAACUCAUGUAAGUAUCUAGAAAGCAGGACACUAGGAGCUCUAUGGCAGCUCGGAAAGUCCUGGGAGCUACUUGUCUAUGAGAAGUAACAGUGACA